rnacentral:misc_RNA from 1 species
GCGUCAUUCUUCAGUGGUCACGAUCGCGAUGGUGACACUGUUCCCGUACGUAGUGGCGGUGCUGUGCGGCGCGACGAGCGCGCGCGCCCACUGGCUGCAUCCCGCGGCGCCGGCCGCCGCCAGCCGCGCCGAGACCUCUGCCAACUACUGGGCGCAAGACGCGCAGGCCGCCAUCAACGCUCGCCUGGAACGAGUUGAAAGCGUGAAGAAAGCGCGUAACGUCAUCAUGUUCCUGGGCGACGGCAUGUCGGUGCCCACGCUCGCCGCCGCGCGCACGCUGCUCGGACAGCGCCAAGGGAAAACGGGAGAGGAGACAAAGUUGCAUUUCGAGACUUUCCCCACAAUCGGAUUAGUGAAGACGUACUGUGUGGACGCCCAGAUUGCAGACUCCGCAUGUACUGCCACAGCGUAUUUGUGUGGUGUAAAAAAUAACUAUGGCGCCAUAGGCGUAGACGGCACGGUACGCCGAGGAGACUGUCAAGCCGCUUCAAACACUGCGACACACGUCGAGUCCAUCGCGGAGUGGGCGCUCGCUGACGGACGAGAUGUCGGUAUUGUGACGACGACUCGUAUCACUCACGCGUCUCCGGCGGGCACGUUCGCGAAGACGGCGAACCGCACCUGGGAGAACGACGGUGAAGUGUCGCAGAUGGGCUUGGACGCCAAGGACUGCCCUGACAUCGCGCAUCAGUUGGUACACCAUCAUCCCGGUAACAAGUUCAAGGUUAUUUUUGGUGGUGGCAAGCGUGCCUUUUUGCCAAAUACUGAACAGGACGAAAAACGAUCUUAUGGUAGAAGGAUAGAUAACCGGAAUCUUAUCAAAGAGUGGGAGGAUGAUAAGGUUUCUCGUAAUGUCAGCCAUCAAUAUGUUUGGCACCGCGAGCAGCUAAUGCGUCUAAAGGAGGACCUGCCUGAAUACAUGUUGGGACUGUUCGAGAGCAGUCAUAUGACCUAUCACUUGAAAUCAGACCCUCAGUCUGAACCCACUCUCGCUGAACUAACAGAGGUGGCAAUUCGGUCAUUAAGACGCAAUGAGAAGGGAUUCUUCCUGUUCGUGGAGGGGGGGCGCAUCGACCACGCGCACCACGACAACCUGGUGGAGCUCGCACUCGACGAGACGCUGGAGAUGGACAAGGCCGUGGCCACCGCCACGGAGAUGCUCUCAGAGGACGACUCGCUCAUCGUGGUCACUGCCGACCACGCACACGUCAUGACUUUCAAUGGCUACUCUAACCGUGGUCAUAACAUCCUCGGGCCCUCCAGGGAUGUCGGACUAGACAAUGUGCCUUACAUGACGCUAACGUAUGCCAAUGGACCCGGAUUCCGUCCACACGUAAACGACAUUAGACCAGAUGUUACCCUUGAGCCAAACUAUCGUAAGUGAAAAUGACUAUAUGUCUACGUUUAUCAUUUCUAAGUAUUGGAUUCAAUUAAAAUUUUCCGUCAUUUUAAAAACUCAAACUGGCAAUAUCUAUUUGCUUUUAAAAGUGUAACAGAUGCUAUGGAUAAUAAUAGUAAAGUAGAGUAUAAUAUAUUAGAUUGAUAGUAGGUAGAGUUAGAGAACCCGCACUCUGCAAACUUUUAGUCGGCCAGUUUGUUCGGACUCUUAAAUCAGUAUGGAAAAAAGUAUAAAUAUUUUUUUUAAAUAGUAAAAAAAAUAACUUGGCCAAGUCUUGGUUUCUUUCUCAUAGUAAAAUAAGAAGUACAAUCUACUUAGU